rnacentral:rRNA from 1 species
AUUGAACGCUGGCGGCAGGCCUAACACAUGCAAGUCGAGCGCGCGGCGGACGGGGGAGUAAUGUAUGGGGACUGUGCGAUAGAGGGGGAUAACAACUGGAAACGGGAGCUAAUAACGCAUACGAUAGGAUAACCCAUAUGGGAUUAGCUAGUAGUGGGGGUAAUGGCUCACCUAGGGGACGAUCCCUAGCUGGUCUGAGAGGAUGACCAGCCACACUGGGACUGAGACACGGCCCAGACUCCUACGGAGGCAGCAGUGGGGAAUAUUGCACAAUGGGCGCAAGCCUGAUGCAGCCAUGCCGCGUGUAUGAAGAAGGCCUUAGGGUUGUAAAGUACUUUCAGUCGGGAGGCGUUACCGACAGAAGAAGCACCGGCUAACUCCGUGCCAGCCGCCGCGGUAAUUC